rnacentral:rRNA from 1 species
UACGAAGGGGGCUAGCGUUGCUCGGAAUCACUGGGCGUAAAGGGUGCGUAGGCGGGUCUUUAAGUCAGGGGUAAAAUCCUGGAGCUCAACUCCAGAACUGCCUUUGAUACUGAAGAUCUUGAGUUCGGGAGAGGUGAGUGGAACUGCGAGUGUAGAGGUGAAAUUCGUAGAUAUUCGCAAGAACACCAGUGGCGAAGGCGGCUCACUGGCCCGGUACUGACGCUGAGGUGCGAAAGCGUGGGGAGCAAACAGG